CCUGGUUGAUUCUGCCAGUAGUCAUAUGCUUGUCUCAAAGAUUAAGCCAUGCAUGUCUAAGUAUAAGCAAUUAUACGGCGAAACUGCGAAUGGCUCAUUAUAUAAGUUAUCGUUUAUUUGAUAGUAUCUUGCUACUUGGAUAACCGUGGUAAUUCUAGAGCUAAUACAUGCUAAAAAUCCCGACUUCGGAAGGGAUGUAUUUAUUAGAUUAAAAACCAAUGCCCUCUGGGCUCUCUUGGUGAAUCAUGAUAACUUCUCGAAUCGCAGGGCCUUGCGCCGGCGAUGGUUCAUUCAAAUUUCUUCCCUAUCAACUUUCGAUGUUUGGGUAGUGGCCAAACAUGGUUGCAACGGGUAACGGAGGGUUAGGGCUCGACCCCGGAGAAGGAGCCUGAGAAACGGCUACUACAUCCAAGGAAGGCAGCAGGCGCGCAAAUUACCCAAUCCCGAUCCGGGGAGGUAGUGACAAUAAAUACUGAUACAGGGCUCUUUUGGGUCUUGUAAUUGGAAUGAGUACAAUUUAAAUCCCUUAACGAGGAACAAUUGGAGGGCAAGUCUGGUGCCAGCAGCCGCGGUAAUUCCAGCUCCAAUAGCGUAUAUUAAAGUUGUUGUGGUUAAAAAGCUCGUAGUUGAACCUUGGGCCUGGCUGGCCGGUCCGCCUCACCGCGUGCACUGGUCCGGCCGGGCCUUUCCCUCUGUGGAACCCCAUGCCCUUCACUGGGUGUGGCGGGGAAACAGGACUUUUACUUUGAAAAAAUUAGAGUGCUCCAGGCAGGCCUAUGCUCGAAUACAUUAGCAUGGAAUAAUGAAAUAGGACGUGCGGUUCUAUUUUGUUGGUUUCUAGGACCGCCGUAAUGAUUAAUAGGGACAGUCGGGGGCAUCAGUAUUCAAUUGUCAGAGGUGAAAUUCUUGGAUUUAUUGAAGACUAACUACUGCGAAAGCAUUUGCCAAGGAUGUUUUCAUUAAUCAGGAACGAAAGUUAGGGGAUCGAAGACGAUCAGAUACCGUCGUAGUCUUAACCAUAAACUAUGCCGACUAGGGAUCGGACGAUGUUAUUUUUUGACUCGUUCGGCACCUUACGAGAAAUCAAAGUGCUUGGGCUCCAGGGGGAGUAUGGUCGCAAGGCUGAAACUUAAAGAAAUUGACGGAAGGGCACCACCAGGGGUAAACCUGACCUGUGAAGCCGCAGUCAACUCUGCUCCAGAAAGCCGCCCGAAAGGGUCGGUGGUGUUCCUAGGGGAGAGCUCUCCCCUAAACUAAUGGCUAGUCCUGCCGCCCGCGGCAGGGCGACACCCUCAAACUGACGGGGAACUCCUAAAGCCCUCGCUCCGGACAGGCGUCGGGAAACCGACGGCCUGCUCACCAGGCUAACGACCUCGGGUAUCGGAAGCAACGCGAGAGGAUGCUACAAUGGACAAUCCGCAGCCAA
rnacentral:rRNA from 1 species